rnacentral:pre_miRNA from 9 species
UCUCGAUAGCGUAAAAGUUAACUCAAAUUUGUAUGGAGUUGGAGCGUUUGCCUACGUUUGGCGCUGGGACGCUGUUCCAAAUGCUUACAAAUUUGAGUUACUUUUACGUUAUCGA